CAUAUGCACUUGCAAACGCAGUCUUCAGUCUCCUCAUGAAUGUUUACGCGUCGCUGUCGCACGACCAAGAUGUGAGCGUCUUUAUCGAGCCAUGAUAUCGCUGAAACUACGCUGUGACCUCGCAAAGUUGCUUCGUUCGGACGCAGCGAAUAAUCUAAUCGCACCAGCAGAAGAGCGCCGAUCGUCUCGCUCACGGUCCCGAUUUGUGUACUGUACCCUCAGUGAUGCAGCACAGACUGCGCCCCCCACCCCAAAAUAAAAUGCCCGGCACGAAACGUAGUAGCAACUACCCGCCUCACCGCUCUAGUUAGAGACCACAACGAAGCAGCAGCAAACAGGCGGCCAUGCGAGCAAGCAAACCUGUCAGAAUAAACGUUCAAUUUGCGCGGCCGCCCCAUGCCCAAUGAAAAGCGACCGGAAGUGACGGCCGACGCUGUACCAUCACUUCGGCGCGCGGCAGGACGGGAAGGCGGAAGCUGCGCCAUCAUGCUCGUUUUCGCGUGCGUUCGCGUCGCGCGCUGUGCGAAGUAAUUUUAAACGUGUGAUUAGUUUUGCGCGCGGGGUAGAAAAAGAUGUGGCCCAUGCUUUGUGUAUUACUCGUGCCCCACUUCAAAGCAAAGCGUUCGUACGCACUGGAAGAUGGAUCCACGAAGGCUGAAACGAGAAGUUGCAACGUGCCCGGUCGGUAGUACUGGCAUGAUGGAAACUUUCAGGUCAUGCAGAUGGUAGCAGCAAUUUCACAAUGCCCAGCCUUGGCGCCCCCCAUCAAGAGCAAGCCACUUGCGUUCGCCUUCAGACAGAUGGUUAAUGUCUUCUUGAAAGCGGUUGAGAAGACAACAUUGAUGCAAGAUUCCGGCAAUGCCAUGCGCUGCAUUUAUUGGUCAAGAUGCUCAGAGAAUGGAGUCCCUGCACCUCGUGGUUAACCGUGAACAUUUCUUUUUCUUUUGGAAAGCUAAAGGCCAUUUGCUGCAUCACUUGCAUUUUUGCAGCUCAGAUGUGUACUAUAUUUUUCUAAUUUUGAAUCAAUAUUGGCUGUUCAGUAUAAAAAAUGACGUACAGCGUGAAGGACAAGGACUGCGAGAGACACUCCACUGACUUUCAACAAUAUUUUAUUGCGUUGCCACAUCGUGUGUGUAUACACAGAGGGGUCAUGCGCAGAAAAUGAAAGCCAGUCACAAGGGGUGUUCUAACAGCAAGUCAUUGUAAAAAGAACAUGGUCACUUGAAAAAAAAAAACAUCACAAUUUCUAU